GACAUCCAGAGAAUUUUAGCAGAGAUGCUUUAGUGCCUUUCGGGAACUCUGAGACAGGUGCUGCAUGGCUGUCGUCAGCUCGUGUUGUGAAAUGUUGGGUUAAGUCCGCAACGAGCGCAACCCUUAUCCUUUGUUGCCAGCACGUAAUGGUGGGAACUCAAAGGAGACUGCCGGUGAUAAACCGGAGGAAGGUGGGGAUGACGUCAAGUCAUCAUGGCCCUUACGAGUAGGGCUACACACGUGCUACAAUGGCGUAUACAAAGAGAAGCGACCUCGCGAGAGCAAGCGGACCUCAUAAAGUGCGUCGUAGUCCGGAUUGGAGUCUGCAACUCGACUCCAUGAAGUCGGAAUCGCUAGUAAUCGUAAAUCAGAAUGUUACGGUGAAUACGUUCCCGGGCCUUGUACACACCGCCCGUCACACCAUGGGAGUGGGUUGCAAAAGAAGUAGAUAGCUUAACCUUCGGGAGGGCGUUUACCACUUUGUGAUUCAUGACUGGGGUGAAGUCGUAACAAGGUAAGCGUAGUGCU
rnacentral:rRNA from 1 species